rnacentral:rRNA from 1 species
GACGAACGCUGGCGGCGUGCUUAACACAUGCAAGUCGAACGGUGAAGCGCCUUCCUUUUUGGUGGGUGUGGAUGAGCGGCGAACGGGUGAGUAACACGUGAGUAACCUGCCCCCUUCUUCUGGAUAACCGCAUGAAAGUGUGGCUAAUACGGGAUAUUCUGGGUCUGUCGCAUGAUGGGUCUGGGAAAGAUAUUGUUUCGGUGGGGGAUGGGCUCGCGGCCUAUCAGCUUGUUGGUGGGGUGAUGGCCUACCAAGGCGGUGACGGGUAGCCGGCCUGAGAGGGUGGACGGUCACACUGGGACUGAGACACGGCCCAGACUCCUACGGGAGGCGGCAGUGGGGAAUAUUGCACAAUGGGCGCAAGCCUGAUGCAGCGACGCCGCGUGAGCGAUGGAGGCCUUCGGGUUGUGAACCUCUUUCGCCAGUGAAGCAGGCCUGCCUCGUUUGUGGGUGGGUUGACGGUAGCUGGAUAAGAAGCGCCGGCUAACUACGUG